UACAGAGGUCCCAAGCGUUGUUCGGAUUCAUUGGGCGUAAAGGGUGCGUAGGCGGCGCGGUAAGUCGGGUGUGAAAUCUCGGAGCUUAACUCCGAAACUGCAUUCGAUACUGCCGUGCUUGAGGACUGGAGAGGAGACUGGAAUUUACGGUGUAGCGGUGAAAUGCGUAGAUAUCGUAAGGAAGACCAGUGGCGAAGGCGGGUCUCUGGACAGUUCCUGACGCUGAGGCACGAAGGUCAGGGGAGCAAACGGGAUUAGA
rnacentral:rRNA from 1 species